GUGUCACUUUGGCAGUACAUACACCCAAACUGGAACGAUACAGAGGAGAUUAGCAUGGCUCCUGUGCAAGGCUGACAUGCAAAUUCGUGAAGCGUUCCAUAUUUUA
ensembl:snRNA U6 U6 spliceosomal RNA